rnacentral:tRNA from 1 species
UAAAAUAGCUUAAAUUAAAGCACUAACUUUGUAACUUAGAGAUGGGAUAGCCCCUUUUAGAU